AUGCCGCUCACGGCCUCUCCACAUCGCUAUUCAUCAUCGUUUGGAUUUGCUCGUUCACAUCUCUGCCUUACUUUCAAAAAUUUCGCUUCGCUACAAUCUCUUCACCGUGAAUGUUUCAUCGCGAUUUUGUCAUCCAGCGAUCUUUCACCGUUGUUUGAUCAGAGAUACUCUGAUCAACGGAUAUUGAAGAUGGAUCAACGGAGUGAUACAGUUGAUGGAUGCAGAGAAGUUUGA